rnacentral:rRNA from 1 species
UAGUCCAUGCCGUCAACUAUGAGAGCUCAUCUUAGAAAAACUGAGAUUUAGUUAACACGUUAAGCUCUUCGCCAGGGAAGUACGAUUGCAAGGUUAAAACUCAAAGGAAUUGACGGGAAUCCAUACAAACGGUGGAGCAUGUGGUUUAAUUCGAUACAACGCGUAAAAUCUUACCAGACUUUGUAUAAAUUUACUAUGAAUUUACAAGAUUGCAUGGCUGUCGUCAGUCCGUGUUGUGAAAUGUUGGGUUAAGUCUCGCAACGAGCGCAACCCCUAUCUUUAGUUGCCAGCAUUAAGUUGGGCACUCUAGAGAGACUGCCCGGGUUAACCGGGAGGAAGGUGGGGAUGACGUCAAGUCCUCAUGGCCCUUAUGUCUUGGGCUACACACGUAAUACAAUGGUUGAUACAAAGGGAAGCGACCCGGCGACGGUAAGCAAAUCUCAAAAAGUCAACCUCAGUUCGGAUUGGAGUCUGCAACUCGACUCCAUGAAGUUGGAAUCGCUAGUAAUCGCGGAUC